rnacentral:rRNA from 1 species
UACGUAGGUGGCAAGCGUUGUCCGGAUUUAUUGGGUUUAAAGGGUGCGUAGGCGGCUCUGUAAGUCAGUUGUGAAAUACGGCAGCUUAACUGUCGAGGUGCAAUUGAUACUGCAGGGCUUGAGUACUGAUGAGGUAGGCGGAAUGGACGGUGUAGCGGUGAAAUGCUUAGAGAUCGUCCAGAACACCGAUAGCGAAGGCAGCUUACUAAGGAGUAACUGACGCUGAGGCACGAAAGUGUGGGGAUCAAACAGG